GAAAUGUGAUAAGUAAUGUGAAUUGCAGAAUUCAGUGAAUCAUCGAAUCUUUGAACGCACCUUGCGCUCCCUGGCAUUCCGGGGAGCAUGUCUGUUUGAGUGUCAUGAACUCUUCAACCCACCAGUUUCUUGUAGACUGAUUGGUGUUUGGAUUUUGAGCGCUGCUGGAUCUUCGGAUCGUAGCUCGUUCGUAAUAUAUUAGCAUCUCUAAUUCGAACUCGGAUUGACUCAGUGUAAUAGACUAUUCGCUGAGGACACGUGCUUGCAUGUGGCCGAAUGAGAUCUCAGUAGAAGCUUCCAACUACAGUAGUCAACUUUAGAUUAGACCUCAGAUCAGGCAGGAUUACCCGCUGAACUUAA
rnacentral:misc_RNA from 1 species